rnacentral:lncRNA from 1 species
CAAGACACUAAUGAUCAUUCCAAGGCUUGGCUUUUUGGUCCAGAAGGAAGCCAGUGAAAAUCUUUUUCACAUGGCUCUUGCCUGAAUAGUCUAGACUCUUCUACUCUCUCCUGGCAGCUGCCUGCACUGUGGGGUGAAUACAGUAACGGAACUACUGCUGGGAUGGGCUGAGUAGAUGGGUGAAGUAGUCGUUCAGAUGGAAGGCACACCUCUUGUCAGUCUAGACAGCAUGACAGAGGGGAGUGCUGAGACCCGGAGUCAGCCUUUUCAGCUGCAUGCUUGUCUCUGCAGUCGGACAUGCUCCGGUCUCUGGCCACUACCCGGCCCACAGUGAAUGCAGAUGACCUCCUGAAAGUAAAGAAAUUCUCUGAGGACUUUGGACAGGAGAGUUAAAGCUUCAUGUUGAUAAUGAAAUUGAGAGUCUGACUGGAGCAAAUUCAUGGGACUUCCCACACCAGUGGCCAGGCAGGGCCUGAAGUCGUGAAGUCAAUAGUAUUCCCUCUACUGCCUGGCUGCCGACCUAGUAGGAUGAAGGAGGGGCCUCGGCAGCUGCAGAGAUGCUUCACCAUGUAGGACACGUGACACUGGCUCUGCACACUUCACUACUGGAUGCUCACACUCUGCCCUGAUCUGUUUUUGUCUAACUUUUGUUCCCCUAAAUUAAUGCUGCUUUGAUUUCUGUCUUGUUUAUAAAUAAAGAGGAAAAUCAUCUGGAAAGUGUUAAGGAGUGGGAGCCACCAGGCCCCUGCUCUCACUCCUUUCCUCUUAACUUUGGCUACUUGUGAGCUGACUGUGGUAAAGUAGGAAAAGCCAUCCCACCCUCCUAAGCUUGCAUCUGGAGCUUCAGGUCCUCCUUGCAGGAGCUGAUGGCUUCUGUGAGCACAAUGCCGUUUCUAUCAGGAGAGACGGCAGACAGGCAGGUCUUUAUCGCUGCCUUCACUGAGAACUGAGAACUGAGCCCAGCCUCUGCUGGUCCUGUCCUGGAGAUGUCUAAUAAACCCUUUCCCUUCUUGA